GGGAGUGUAGCUCAGUAGGUUCAGAGCAACGGACUGUUAAUCCGUGGGUCGUGGGUUCGAGCCCCUCCACUCCCG
rnacentral:tRNA from 1 species